CGGCUCGGAGCGCUGGGCGCUGGCGACCUUCUGCGUCGCAGACUGCAGAUCCUCGCCGCGCGCGCGGA
rnacentral:tRNA from 1 species